GACAUCUAACAGGCUGGGAGUUGUAAUAUUUCCCUUAUGUCAUCUGGAAGUCAUAAAUCAUCCAUAGAUCAAAAUGAUACAAGCCUCAGACUGCAAAUGACUACAGGGACGAAGAGUGAGGGUCCUCAUUGACCCGUGAGGCAUUGCUUGUGUGAAGGUUGACUGAUUCCUGCUUUUGGGAAAUAAAGAAUGACCAAGAAAAAAUAUGAUGAAAUAAGGCAAGAAGUUUAAUGUGGUGUAAAGAAGAAGGAAGAAAGGAACAGCAUAUUGACUGAUCUGCCACACAGGAACAGCUACGAAGGA